rnacentral:rRNA from 1 species
UUGAGAGUUUGAUCCUGGCUCAGAGCGAACGCUGGCGGCAGGCCUAACACAUGCAAGUCGAACGGCAGCACAGGAGAGCUUGCUCUCUGGGUGGCGAGUGGCGGACGGGUGAGGAAUACAUCGGAAUCUACCUUUUCGUGGGGGAUAACGUAGGGAAACUUACGCUAAUACCGCAUAAGACCUUCGGGUGAAAGCCGGGGACCUUCGGGCCUGGCGCGGAUAGAUGAGCCGAUGUCGGAUUAGCUUGUUGGCGGGGUAAAAGCCCACCAAGGCGACGAUCCGUAGCUGGUCUGAGAGGAUGAUCAGCCACACUGGAACUGAGACACGGUCCAGACUCCUACGGGAGGCAGCAGUGGGGAAUAUUG